rfam:Phytophthora infestans T30-4 supercont1.25 genomic scaffold, whole genome shotgun sequence.
GGGCGGCUAGCGCAGCUGUAGCGCGUCCCCUUUGCAAGCGGAAGGCCCCGGGUUCAAUCCCCGGUGUGUCCA